rnacentral:lncRNA from 1 species
UCCAAAGUUCAAAUCCCAGCAACCACAUGGUGGCUCACAACCAUCCGUAAGGAGAUCUGACGCCCUCUUCUGGAGUGUCUGAAGACAGCUACAGUGUACUUACAUAUAAUAAAUAAAUAAAUCUUUAAAAAAAAAAAAAAAAACAUGAGAGUUCCAACAGUACUCUCUUACCCAAUGUGCACCUAGCUGAGUAUGUCUUUUAGAAUAAGUUUCUCAAGUAUUAUAAAACAAAAAAAGUAGCUUGCUUCACACCUAUUGACCUACUUGAGAAAAAAUUAUCUUUCAGUUUGAGUCUUCUACCCAUAAAACACCACCCACAUGACCAUUCCCUCCAGAACACCUCUGCACCACAGCCGCCCAUCUCCUCUCCAGAGAUAACCGCAAUCCUUCCUUCUAGAAAUAUGAAUUAUAUUUUUCUUUUCUUUUUCAUUAUAAAACAGAAUUCAUUAGUAUUUUUUUCUUGCAUCUGGUUAUAAAAUUCAUGCAUGUUUUUGAACUCUCCUUGGUUUAUCAACUAUCAAUGUAUGAACGUGCUAUUUUAGGAUAUGUUUAUCAAGUUAACUAUUAAUGGGCAUCUGAGUUAUUUCCAGUUUGAGGUCAUUAUGAAAAUUACAGUUAUGAAAUGUAUAUGAACAUGUCUACAUGUUUGAUGGGUACAUGCUUCGAAGUAAAUUUGCUGAAUGAUGAGAAUAUUUGGAUUCCCCAGUUGACUGGUUAAGACCAAAUUGUUUUUCAGAGUGGGGGUCAAAUUCCUUUUCCAAUAAAUAAGUUUUAAUAGUUUACAUGCUAGCCAAAAAUCGCUACUAUCAGCCUUUUAUUCAUUCUAGUAGGGAGGUCUUACUAUGGCUUUUUUUCCUGGUAAGUAACAACUUCUUAUAUGUUUAUUGCCAUACUAAAAUCACCCGACUUUCAAAUCUCUUACCCGUUUACCCUUGUAUAAGCCAAAAGCCCAUUUUAAAAGUGAGCCCUUUGGAGGUUAGAUCCAUAUCAUGUGUGGCUCAGAAGAUGUACUGAUAAAGAACACUUCUUAAUGUCAGGGUAGAACAAUCUAUAACCUCAUCCUUUACAGUUAACAGUUCUUAUAACAUGUUGGAGAAACUUUUCUCAGUCUUGGGUAAUAAAAACACUCUUCCAGCAUCUCAUUCACAUUUAUUUGUUAUAUACCUAAGGAAUAUUUUUGAGUUUUGCAUAGGAAGGGCUAAGUUUUCUUUUUCUUUUCCACAUGGGUAUAUUCUAUUUGUUAUACCAACUGCCAUGCCAUGAUCAUUAUAAUUUGAGGUCCCGUGUAUGUGUAGUUCUAUUUGAUGUUCUCUAUUCUGCCCCAUUGUGCACUGGCUGAACUGCCUUAAUUGGAGAUAUAAAUUGUGAUAUCUGAUAAAAAUGAGUCUUCCCAUUUUGUCUUUUUCUUCAAGUGUUCUUGACCAAUUUUGGUACUUCGCAUUUGAUAGAUAGUCCAAAAUCAAUUUGUUAAACCCAUCUCACCAAGUCUUACUAGGAUGUUAACUAGCGCCAAACAGACCAAUAAGGAGAGGAAACAUCUUCAUUGUUUUGAAUCUUUCCAAUCCUUUAACUCUUAUUUAGUUUCUCUAUGUGACGUUUUAUAGUUUUCCAAAUAAUAUCUUUCUAAUUUGUUGAUUGGCAUUUUAUAUUUUAAAACAUUAUCAAUAUUACCUUUUUCAAAAAUUUUAGUUCCUAGUUAUUUGCUAUCAAUAUAUCAAAAACUAACUUUUGUAUAUCAACUUUGUAUUUGCAACACUGCUGAACUGAUGUGUAAGUUCUCGUAUUUGUUUGUUGGUGACUUGGGUUUUCUCCAACACCAGUGCAUCAUCUCCAAAGAAUUAGCUUUUUUUUCCCCAAACCACAGAGCUCCACCUGCUUUCCUUUGCCCUGUUUCACUGGCUGAGAUUUCCCACAUAGUGGUGACCAGACCCAGUAACAGAAACUCUCAUAAGGUUCCAGACUUGGACGGAAAGCUUUUGCUAUAUCAUCAUUAAGUAUACAUUUUGCUUAAGUGUUUCUAGUAUCCUCUUUUCCACAUUAAAAAUAUUGUUGGGUACCUAGAGAUUACUCAAAGGUUAAGAGUGUAUACUGCUUGUUUUAGAGGACCUGGGUUCAGUUCCCAGUUUGACAGCUUACAUCCACUUGUAACACCAGCUCAGGAGAUGCAAUGCCCUGUUCUAGCCUCUGCGGGCACUUGGUCUCCUGUACCUCUUCAUAGUCAGUCUGAGCACCCCCAUACACACACACACACACACACACACACACACACACACACAUACAUACUUAAAAAUAAGAUAAAUCAAAAAGUAUAUUGGCAGGCUAAGCACAGCCUGUAAUCCUAGCACUUGGGAGGCGAUAGCAAGAUAAUGGCAAAUUCAAGGCUAGCCUGGACUACGUAAAAAAGGUUUGAAGCAACAUAGGCUACCUACCUGUCUCAAACAUUAAAUGAAAAAAGAGAGACUAUUGUCUGGAGCUAUUGAUAUAACUCAGUGAUAAAGUACUGAGCAUUCAUGGAGACCAGGCUUCAAUUCUAGUGCUGGAAAAGAACG